rnacentral:rRNA from 1 species
UUCCUACGGGGGGCAGCAGUGGGGAAUAUUGCACAAUGGGGGAAACCCUGAUGCAGCGACGCCGCGUGAAGGAAGAAGGCUUUCGGGUUGUAAACUUCUUUUAUCAGGGACGAAACAAAUGACGGUACCUGAUGAAUAAGCCACGGCUAACUACGUGCCAGCAGCCGCGGUAAUACGUAGGUGGCAAGCGUUAUCCGGAUUUACUGGGUGUAAAGGGCGUGUAGGCGGGCUUGCAAGUCAGAUGUGAAAUUCCAGGGCUCAACCCUGGAACUGCAUUUGAAACUGUAGGUCUUGAGUGCU